rnacentral:piRNA from 1 species
CUCUGCUUUCUGAUUGGUUUCCCCCCAG